UUCGUCCAAUUGAAGCAGAGGACAGUGGCGGACGGGUGAGUAACGCGUGAGGAACCUGCCUAUCAGAGGGGGAUAACGAUUGGAAACGAUCGCUAAUACCGCAUGACAUAGCGGAACCGCAUGGUUUUGCUAUCAAAGAUUUUAUCGCUGAUAGAUGGGCUCGCGUCCGAUUAGAUAGUUGGUGGGGUAACGGCCUACCAAGUCGACGAUCGGUAGCCGGACUGAGAGGUUGACCGGCCACAUUGGGACUGAGAUACGGCCCAGACUCC
rnacentral:rRNA from 2 species